rnacentral:rRNA from 1 species
UACGUAGGGGGCAAGCGUUGUCCGGAAUCAUUGGGCGUAAAGAGCGUGUAGGCGGCCCGAUAAGUCCGCUGUGAAAGUCCAGGGCUCAACCCUGGGAUGCCGGUGGAUACUGUCGGGCUCGAGUCCGGAAGAGGAGUGUGGAAUUCAUGGUGUAGCAGUGAAAUGCGUAGAGAUCAUGAGGAAGACCAGUGGCGAAGGCGGGUCUCUGGACAGUCCCUGACACUGAGACACGAAGGCCAGGGGAGCAAACGGG